rnacentral:lncRNA from 1 species
UCUCUCUUAUUACAGUAAACAAAAUACCAUUCUACCGCUAAGCUAGUACUCCCUCCGUUCCAAAAUAGAUGACUCAACUUUGUACUAAUAUUAGUAUUAGUACAAAGUUGAGUCAUCUAUUUUGGAACGGAGGGAGUAUUUCUUUUGUGAUAAGCUAGUAUCGUUUAGGUGUGCAGAUGUCACAGCGGCAUCCCUGAUCAGUGCACGUAGCAGUCCAAUUGCAAUCAGGGCACGCAUGGUGACCGUUGACUAUUGCGCGGCAAAUGUGCUGGCAAGCUGGAGCAUCACACUUUAUAGGCGUCGGGGUCAUUGAUCCCGCGCAAACGCCAGUCGUUGUUGCCGCCUUCACUUCUGUAAAA